GACCACGUAGCUCAGUUGGCAGAGUGUUAAUUGGACUAGUAUCCCAAAGAUCGCGGGUUCGAUUCCCACCGUGGCCA